CGCGUAGGUGGCUAAUUAAGUCAAAUGUGAAAUCCCCGAGCUUAACUUGGGAACUGCGUUUGGAACUGUCAGACUAGAGUGCGUCAGAGGGGGGUGGAAUUCCGCGUGUAGCAGUGAAAUGCGUAGAGAUGCGGAGGAACACCGAUGGCGAAGGCAGCCCCCUGGGAUGACACUGACGCUCAUGCACGAAAGCGUGGGGAGCAAACAGGAUUAGAUACCCUCGUA
rnacentral:rRNA from 1 species